AGCUAGCCUAUAAUAUUAAUUCAACUAGACCUUAUAAAUCUAAUAUAUAUAUUACAAUUUUUAAUCAAAACAUUCUCAACCUUCUAGUAUGGGUGACAGAACAAUAACCUCAGCGCAAUAGCUUAUGUACCGCAAGGGAAAGCUGAAAAAGAAAUGAAACAAAUCAUUAAAGUACUAAAAAGCAGAGAUUAUACCUCGUACCUUUUGCAUCAUGAUUUAGCUAGAAAAACUAGGCAAAAAGACCUUAAGUCUAUCUCCCCGAAACUAAACGAGCUACUCCGAAGCAGCAUUACAAGAGCCAACCCGUCUCUGUGGCAAAAGAGUGGGAAGACUUCCGAGUAGCGGUGAAAAGCCUACCGAGUUUAGUGAUAGCUGGUUACCCAAGAAAAGAACUUCAGUUCUGCAUUAAUUUUUCACUAUCUAAACAAGACUUACUCGUCAAAGAAAUCUAUAAGAAUUAAUAGUUAUUUAGAAGAGGUACAACCCUUCUAAACCAAGACACAACUUUUUAAGGUGGGAAAUGAUCAUAAUUAUUAAGGUUACCAUCUCAGUGGGCCUAAAAGCAGCCAUCUGUCAAGCAAGCGUCGCAGCUCUAAUCUAAUAAUUAAACCUCUAAUUCAGAUAUCCAUUCAUAACCCCCUUUAUCCUAUUGGGUUAUUUUAUAUUUAUAUAAAAGAACUUAUGCUAAAAUGAGUAAUAAAGAGAACAAAUCUCUCCCGACACAAGUGUAUGUCAGAAAGAAUUAAAUCACUGAUAAUUAAACGACCCCAAACUGAGGUCAUUAUAUUACUUAAUCAUUAACUAGAAAAUCCUAUUCUCUUACCCGUUA
rnacentral:rRNA from 1 species